rnacentral:rRNA from 1 species
CGGAGAGUGCGAACGUUGUUCGGAUUCACUGGGCGUAAAGGGCACGUAGGCGGCUCGGCAAAUCGGUCGUGGAAUCCCGACGCUUACCGUCGGAACGGCGGCCGAAAAUACCGGGCUCGAGGGCGUGAGGGGGUCACUGGAACUCCUGGUGAAGCGGUGAAAUGCGUAGAUAUCAGGAGGAACGCCGGAGGCGAAAGCGAGUGACUGGCGCGUUCCUGACGCUGAGGUGCGAAAGCUAGGGGAGCAAACAGGAUUAGAUACCCUGGUAGUCCUAGCCGUAAACGAUGGACACUGAGUGGGGGAGGGCUUGCCUUUCCCUGCUGCAGCUAACGCGUUAAGUGUCCCGCCUGGGGAGUACGGCCGCAAGGUUA